rnacentral:rRNA from 1 species
AUACAGAGGGUGCAAACGUUGUUCGGAAUCACUGGGCUUAAAGCGCGCGUAGGCGGCGACAUCAGUGUCUUGUGAAAGCCCCCGGCUCAACCGGGGAACUGCAGGGCAUACUGUGUUGCUAGAGUACGAGAGGGGAGAGGAGAACUCCUGGUGGAGCGGUGGAAUGCGUAGAUAUCAGGAUGAAUGCCGAAGGUGAAGACACCUAUCUGGCUCGUAACUGACGCUAAGGCGCGAAAGCUAGGGUAGCGAACGGGAUUAGAAACCCGGGUAGUCC